GUGAGGAAUAUUGGACAAUGGGCGCAAGCCUGAUCCAGCCAUGCCGCGUGCAGGAAGACGCAUCUAUGGUGUGUAAACUGCUUUUGUACGGGAAGAAACACUCCCUCGUGAGGGAGCUUGGCGGUACCGUAAGAAUAAGGAUCGGCUAACUCCGUGCCAGCAGCCGCGGUAAUACGGAGGAUCCAAGCGUUAUCCGGAAUCAUUGGGUUUAAAGGGUCCGUAGGCGGUUUAAUAAGUCAGUGGUGAAAGCCCAUCGCUCAACGAUGGAACGGCCAUUGAUACUGUUAGACUUGAAUUACAAGGAAGUAACUAGAAUAUGUAGUGUAGCGGUGAAAUGCUUAGAUAUUACAUGGAAUACCAAUUGCGAAGGCAGGUUACUACUUGUGGAUUGACGCUGAUGGACGAAAGCGUGGGGAGCGAACAGGAUUAGAUACCCCUGUAGUCC
rnacentral:rRNA from 1 species